GAUCAUGGCUCAGGACGAACGCUGGCGGCGCGCCUAACACAUGCAAGUCGAACGAGCGAGAGAGAGCUUGCUUUCUCGAGCGAGUGGCGAACGGGUGAGUAACGCGUGAGGAACCUGCCUCAAAGAGGGGGACAACAGGUUGGAGACGACUGCUAAUACCGCAUAAGCCCACGGGUCGGCAUCGACCAGAGGGAAAAGGAGCAAUCCGCUUUGAGAUGGGCCUCGCGUCCGAUUAG
rnacentral:rRNA from 1 species